rnacentral:misc_RNA from 1 species
GAGAAAGUAGCUGCGAUUGCUUGAGUUCAAUCAGUUGAGGUUGGUUUGGUGGUAUAUCCUUACUUAACUUAUAUACUUAUAUAAGUCGUUUUGAUCCCGGCCCAACGCGAUAAAGAAUAAAGAAGUAGGGCGAUCGAUCCCACACAGAGUCACCUUUCUAGUGCUUGUUCGGAAUGGAAUAAGCUCUUCUUGUUCAAAUCGACUCUUCCCCUCUUGUAAGUUCACAUUUUGUCUAUGGUGAGGUUGACCGG